rnacentral:rRNA from 1 species
GAUGAACGCUAGCUACAGGCUUAACACAUGCAAGUCGACGGGGCAGCACAGUGUAGCAAUACAUGGGCGGCGACCGGCGCACGGGUGCGUAACGCGUAUCCAACCUUCCCGUUACUCUUGGAUAGCCUCUCGAAAGGGAGAUUAAUCCCCGAUGUUGUUGUUUCAUCGCAUGAUGUUUCAACCAAGAAUUUCGGUAUGGGAUGGGGAUGCGUUCCAUUAGCUUGUUGGCGGGUAACGCCACCAAGGCUACGAUGGAUACGGGGUUCUGAAGAGGAAGGUCCCCCANACUGGAACUGAGACCACGGUCCAGACUCCUACGGGAGCAGCAGUGAGGAAUAUUGGUCAAUGGUCGUAAGACUGAACCAGCCAAGUA